AUUCCCCAUGGAGACACUGCAGAUAUGGCUGCUGUGGCACAUGUGUGUCAAUAGGUAGCAGAGAGGAAAGAUGCUAUGUCUAUCUAUGGUCAAUGUUCUGAUCUGUGACCAUCAGAAUGAUUAGUAGCCUAACAUU